rnacentral:rRNA from 1 species
AUUGAACGCUGGCGGCAGGCCUAACACAUGCAAGUCGAGCGGAUGAAGGGAGCUUGCUCCUGGAUUCAGCGGCGGACGGGUGAGUAAUGCCUAGGAAUCUGCCUGGUAGUGGGGGAUAACGUCCGGAAACGGGCGCUAAUACCGCAUACGUCCUGAGGGAGAAAGUGGGGGAUCUUCGGACCUCACGCUAUCAGAUGAGCCUAGGUCGGAUUAGCUAGUUGGUGGGGUAAAGGCCUACCAAGGCGACGAUCCGUAACUGGUCUGAGAGGAUGAUCAGUCGCACUGGAACUGAGACACGGUCCAGACUCCUACGGGAGGCAGCAGUGGGGAAUAUUGGACAAUGGGCGAAAGCCUGAUCCAGCCAGGCCGAGUGUGUGAAGAAGGUCUUCGGAUUGUAAAGCACUUUAAGUUGGGAGGAAGGGCAGUAAGUUAAUACCUUGCUGUUUUGACGUUACCAACAGAAUAAGCACCGGCUAACUUCGUG